UUGAACGCUGGCGGCAGGCCUAACACAUGCAAGUCGAACGGUAACAGGAAGAAGCUUGCUUCUUUGCUGACGAGUGGCGGACGGGUGAGUAAUGUCUGGGAAACUGCCUGAUGGAGGGGGAUAACUACUGGAAACGGUAGCUAAUACCGCAUAACGUCGCAAGACCAAAGAGGGGGACCUUCGGGCCUCUUGCCAUCGGAUGUGCCCAGAUGGGAUUAGCUAGUAGGUGGGGUAACGGCUCACCUAGGCGACGAUCCCUAGCUGGUCUGAGAGGAUGACCAGCCACACUGGAACUGAGACACGGUCCAGACUCCUACGGGAGGCAGCAGUGGGGAAUAUUGCACAAUGGGCGCAAGCCUGAUGCAGCCAUGCCGCGUGUAUGAAGAAGGCCUUCGGGUUGUAAAGUACUUUCAGCGGGGAGGAAGGGAGUAAAGUUAAUACCUUUGCUCACUGACGUUACCCGCAGAAGAAGCACCGGCUAACUCCGUG
rnacentral:rRNA from 1 species